GAAAGUUUGAGUGAGGCAGCGCACUGAGCGCGCCGGGCACCGACAGCCAAGGAGGCUCGGUCGCCAAGAUCUAAGACGCGGCAGUGCAGGUCCCAGUCCCUGUCCCUGUCGCAGGGGAGCCGCCCGAAUCCCUGGGAGACCAACCCCGAAAGUUAGCCAGGUUCCUCAGCAACCCGGCCACCCUCGCGCCCACCCCUCUUGUGUACGCACACGCAUCCACACCCCUUUCUGGGCUCCGUACUUGCCGUGGAAAUUCCUGGGGAGAACGAUCGCACUUUUCAGGACACCAAGACAAUUAAGAUCGUCAAAUUAAAAGGGGGCAGCCAUCAAAGGAAAUGAGACAGACUUGGAUGGACUGGUAUGGAAGGAGGUCAUGAUAGACUGUCAAUCGAGAAGACAUCUGCAACCACCGCUGGACUGUGUUCUUCCCUGAGAUCAGAACCCAGCCUCUUUAUGCUUCUAAGAUGGACUAGAUAUCUCUCCAGGAAUCCUCUAGCUCCUUGGCACCAGACUGGCACUGCUAAGGUUCCCAGCCAUGUGACUUGAACUGCUACCCAAGUCUCUAGCACUCCAGCUCUUCAAAGAUAGCUGUUGUUAGACGACUCGGGACCAUCUUGUGGAAGGGCUGAUCUUAUUCUCUAAGGAGUUCCUGAUGGAGGACAGGCAGCUCCCUCAUUCUAGACGCCUUCCCUGUCCUGAACCCCCACCAGACCGGUGCCUUUCUGUGCAUCUGGAGGUUACAGAGGGCAGCGGCUACAUCUUAUUCGUCUUAGUAUCUCCAAUGCCUAGGACAUGCCUGCUCAAUAAAUGUUUGCUGAAUGAA
rnacentral:lncRNA from 1 species